rnacentral:rRNA from 1 species
GACAUAGGUGGCGAACGUUAUCCGGAAUUAUUGGGCGUAAAGGGCGCGUAGGCGGCCGAUCAAGUCAGGCGUGAAAUUCCCGGGCUCAACCUGGGGGCUGCGCUUGAUACUGAUUGGCUUGAAUGCGGGAGAGGAUAGUGGAAUUCCCAGUGUAGAGGUGAAAUUCGUAGAUAUUGGGAAGAACACCAGUGGCGAAGGCGGCUAUCUGGCCCGUAAUUGACGCUGAGGCGCGAAAGCGUGGGGAGCAAACAGG